AGAUCCCAGCAGAAACAGACAGAUCGUCCAGCAGCUAGCUGUCAUCUUCUUUGGCAUUUGCAAUGACCCACUAUUGAUCUGCAAGAAAGUGACUGAAAGAAGCCAUUAUGAAACCUGGCAGACGCCACAGCUUGCUGGCAGUUUAAAGCUGGGCAAGACGUUUUGGUCAAUGGGUUUUGCAAGGGGUUCAAGCAUGGCAGAUAAACAGUACACAAGACCUUGAUAAAAAAGACUGUAAAAGGCAAAACACAAGAGAGGAUCCAAUAAGAAAUUUAUGGGAAUUAAAGGUGCUGUAAUCCUACUACCUGACGGAUAUCAUUAAAAUUAAUGCUCUGAGAUAUUACUCUCAUCUAAAGACUGUGUAAACCAAGGAGUUCUAAUAUACCUUGAGAAAGCUGUGAGGUUGUGUAAAAUGCCCAGUAUCAGUUACUGCACCAUUAAUCAAUUAAAAAUUGUCAGAACGUUAUUUAAAGACACCAGAUUGUUUAGUCUAUCUAAGUGCUGAUGUGAAAAUACUCUUAAUGUUUUCAGCAAUACCCAUUUGGACAAAUUGCCU